GAAAUGCGAUAAGUAGUGUGAAUUGCAGAAUUCAGUGAAUCAUCGAAUCUUUGAACGCACAUUGCGCCCUUUGGUAUUCCUUAGGGCAUGCCUGUUCGAGCGUCAUCUAAACCUUCAAGCCCUGCUUGGUGUUGGGUGCCUGUCCCGCCUCCGCGCGCGGACUCACCUCAGAUCCAUUGGCGGCCCCCGCGUCGGCCACGAGCGCAGCAGAAACGCGAACUCGUGAGCCCGUCCGGGCGGCUCCCAGAAGCUACACCCACCCAGUUUGACCUCGGAUCAGGUAGGGAUACCCGCUGAACUUAAGC
rnacentral:misc_RNA from 1 species